AGCAGUCGCCGCGGUAAUACGUAGGGUGCGAGCGUUAAUCGGAAUUACUGGGCGUAAAGCGGGCGCAGACGGUUACUUAAGCAGGAUGUGAAACCCCCGGGCUCAACCUGGGAACUGCGUUCUGAACUGGGUGACUAGAGUGUGUCAGAGGGAGGUAGAAUUCCACGUGUAGCAGUGAAAUGCGUAGAUAUUUGGAGGAACAUCGGUGGCGAAGGCGACCUUCUGGACUGUUACUGACGCUGAGAUCCGAAAGCGUGGGGAUCAAACAGGAUUAGAUACCCCAGUAGUCCCUGUCUCUUAUAC
rnacentral:rRNA from 1 species